rnacentral:tRNA from 1 species
GGCUACAUGGCGGAAUUGGCAGACGCUCUAAUAGAGAUGAACACUAUUAGGAUUACAGUUCGGUAAAUUCAGGUUCGAAUCCUGAUGUAGGCCA